AACGAACGCUGGCGGCAUGCCUAACACAUGCCAGUCGAACGAGACCUUCGGGUCUAGUGGCGCACGGGUGCGUAACGCGUGGGGACCUGCCCUUAGGUUCGGAAUAACUCCCCGAAAGGGGUGCUAAUACCGGAUAAUGUCUUCGGACCAAAGAUUUAUCGCCUUUGGAUGGGCCCGCGUUGGAUUAGCUAGUUGGUAGGGUAAAAGCCUACCAAGGCGACGAUCCAUAGCUGGUCUGAGAGGAUGAUCAGCCACACUGGGACUGAGACACGGCCCAGACUCCUACGGGAGGCAGCAGUGGGGAAUAUUGGACAAUGGGCGAAAGCCUGAUCCAGCAAUGCCGCGUGAGUGAUGAAGGCCUUAGGGUUGUAAAGCUCUUUUACCCGGGAUGAUAAUGACAGUACCGGGAGAAUAAGCUCCGGCUAACUCCGUG
rnacentral:rRNA from 1 species